UUCAUACCAGCUCUCCCAAUUGAGUGUAAUUGCUAUUUUCAAAAUAACAAUCAGCUCAAAAAAUAACAAACACUCAAGGCGCGAGCGGCGCUCAAAAUCACACUCAAAAUCCGAAGCGACAGCGACGCCAGCAGCGAUGGCGCGUCGGGCGACGGGUUGUACGGUGGUUGUGGAAAAAUGUAAAAGGAGACACUGUGGACUUUUGCUGCCUCAAUCUUUUCUCGGCCGCGGCAACGAAACAACAGAAAUUUGGUUAAAAUUUUGGCGGUUGGCGCUUUUAACCGAAUUCAGAAAAGUAGUUCCGUUUCCGUUGAUAUUAUCCCACAAAACCAUCCUAACUAUUAUUCUUCCCUUUUUGGCUCAAUUGACACC
rnacentral:sRNA from 1 species